GUCUAUGGCCAUGCUACCCUGAACAUGCCCUAUCUCAUCUGAUCUCAGAAGCUAAGCAGGGCCAGGCCUGGUUAGUACUUGGAUGGGAGACCACCUAGGAAUACCAGGUGCUGUAGGUG
rnacentral:rRNA from 1 species